rnacentral:tRNA from 1 species
GGGCGAUUAGCUCAGUUGGCAGAGCGCCGCUUUCGCAAGGCGGAGGUCGCCGGUUCGAAUCCGGCAUCGUCCACCA